GACGAACGCUGGCGGCGUGCUUAACACAUGCAAGUCGAACGGAAAGGCCCUGCUUUUGUGGGGUGCUCGAGUGGCGAACGGGUGAGUAACACGUGAGUAACCUGCCCUUGACUUUGGGAUAACUUCAGGAAACUGGGGCUAAUACCGGAUAGGAGCUCCUGCUGCAUGGUGGGGGUUGGAAAGUUUCGGCGGUUGGGGAUGGACUCGCGGCUUAUCAGCUUGUUGGUGGGGUAGUGGCUUACCAAGGCAUUGACGGGUAGCCGGCCUGAGAGGGUGACCGGCCACCAUGGGACUGAGAUACGGCCCAGACUCCUACGGGAGGCAGCAGUGGGAAAUAUUGCACAAUGGGCGGAAGCCUGAUGCAGCAACGCCGCGUGCGGGAUGCCGGCCUUCGGGUUGUAAACCGCUUUCGCCUGUGACGAAGCGUGAGUGACGGUAAUGGGUAAAGAAGCACCGGCUAACUACGUG
rnacentral:rRNA from 1 species